UACGUAGGCAGCAAGCGUUGUUCGGAGUUACUGGGCGUAAAGGGUGUGUAGGCGGUUCCUUAAGUUUGCUGUGAAAUCCCCCGGCUUAACCGGGAGGGUGCGGUGAAUACUGAGGGACUAGAGUACGGGAGAGGAAAGUGGAAUUCCUGGUGUAGCGGUGAAAUGCGUAGAUAUCAGGAGGAACACCGGUGGUGUAGACGGCUUUCUGGACCGUAACUGACGCUGAGACACGAAAGCGUGGGUAGCAAACAGG
rnacentral:rRNA from 1 species